GUUACAGUCUUCCAUUUCAGAGAGGCAAUCAAAAGUUGUGAGAGAAAGAGUUGUCUUUAGAGUCUGUCAAAUCAUUUCAUUUUAAGCUCUUCAUUUCACAUUUCCAUCAUGUAAAGUACCUUAAUUACAGAAUCCUUUUUAUUUUCUAAUUAAGUAUUGUAAUACAGUCAAGGAUUUUAGUUCUGUAGACACUUCGUAAUAUGCUUAAGAGCACUUAAUAUUUUGAACUUUGGGCAAUCCACAAACACAGUUUGUUUUAAAGAUAAAGGGACAGUAGUAUUUUAAAAGCUAUAGUUUAGUAAUUAGAAUGGGAAGCAUGCCGGAUGCCUUUUAUUGCUUCCAUCUGUUUAAAGAUAAUGAAAAUAAGAAAUUGGAAAAAAAAAUCUUCCAGGAGACUGUAGAUUAUUAGCUACAGAAUAUUCCUUUCUUUUGAAAAAAUUGGGUAAUCCCUUAAAGAUAUUUAUUGAUAGUCCCUUAAAGAUAUGAAGAUAUUUAGUGAAGUCUUUGAUAAUUUUUUGUUUUGUUUUGUUUUGAGACAGAGCCUUUGUUACCCAGGCUGGAGUGCAGUGGCUCAACCUUGGCUCACUGCAACCUCAGCCUCCCAGGUUCAAGUGAUUCUCCUGCCUCAACCUCCCAAGUAGCUAGGAUUACAGGCACC
ensembl:lncRNA MAST4-IT1 MAST4 intronic transcript 1